CAUCUAACUCCUCAAACUUGUUAAAUAAAAACGAAGGUGUGUUUGACUCAGAAUCGGUGAAGGAAAAUGCAAAAGUGUCGGAGACGAAAAGUUUCACCAUUAUCGAGAGAAUGUGACCAUUGGACCAUAUUUGGACAGGACCUCAUAUCAACGGUUAUUGAGCGUAUACAGAAGUUCCAAGACCUCCUCAUCUUCAUCUUAGUGCUGAGACUUGUAAAUAAGAUUGAAGGGCACAACAGACUGUUCUCCUAUGAUUCAUGAUUGUAAUUGUUAAUUAUAGUCUGGUCCAAAUAUAACAAACAAAUAAGAUGCAACUCAACUGGAAACUACAUUGCUCAAAUAUGUUGUGUAAU